ACCAACUUCCAGUAGAAUUUAUUAAUUUUAAUUCAUUAACAACAGGGAUACAACAUAAGUGAGGACCUAGCCUUUUUUGUUCUUAAAUAUUGAAGCAUGCUAAAAUUUAUUAACUACAGGUUUCAUAAGACGCUACAACUGCUCCUAUCACUAGAAGGCUCCCGUGGCACUGCUGUUGGGUUGUACGGUCGGGGCAGUGGAACUGCUGGUGCGUCAUAGAUGUACGGUCGGGCCAUAAGAAGUACAUUUCCUGACUGCAGAUGAGCAUCCGAUGGACAAGAUUCUUGAGGAGAGGGGCUCAUGUUUCCUGCAAAGUCAAACUGUUACACUCUUUUACAUUGUUGUUUCAGAUUUGUCCUGGUCCUUGGAAAUUUAUACAGAUUUACACUUUCAGCCGUUUUUUAAUUCUGAAAAAGAGGAUUCGAACCCAACAUUUUGAAAAAAAAAAAUUAGAUACAUGUAAUUAAUUAAGUUGGGGUAUAAAAAGUAGAGCGUGGGAGGAAGGCAGUUUUUAUUAGAAAGACCCUUCGAACAAGUUUAGUACAAAGUAGCCUGAUCACUUUGAGCCAGCAAUUGAUGGUGAGGUUGAAGACUUGGAGGAUGACCCUGUGAAAAUAGAAUGCCAGGUUGAGUAUUACCUCGCUGGCCGUGAUAGUUAUUGCCACUUGAAAGUUGCUGCUGGUUCUUGUCUUGGUUACUCAUCGGCUCCUGUUCAGAAUCUCCCUCUCCUGGAACUUCCUACUUUCUUCUUUCUCUACUUGUUGAUUGGAUUGUUCUUUUAAUUUCUUGAAGGAAAGAAGUUCAAAGAUGGCUUUGAAUUGGUUUGAUUUGUGGAGGUAAGGAAUGGUGGGUGGAAGUAAAUAUAUAUAGCUUAAAACAUGUCAAU
rnacentral:lncRNA from 1 species